rnacentral:rRNA from 1 species
UACGUAGGGUGCGAGCGUUAAUCGGAAUUACUGGGCGUAAAGCGUGCGUAGGCGGUUCUCCAAGUCCGUUGUGAAAGCCCCGGGCUCAACCUGGGAAUGGCAGUGGAAACUAGGGGACUGGAAUCUGGCAGAGGGGGGUGGAAUGCGUAGAUAUCUGGAGGAAUACCGGUGGCGAAGGCGGCAUCCUGGACCGGCAUUGACGCUGAUGAGCGAAAGCUAGGGGAGCAAACGGG